CACGUAGUUAGCCGGGGCUUCUUGGUCAGGUACCGUCAUUUUCUUCCCUGCUGAUAGAAGUUUACGUAUCGAAAUACUUCGUCCUUCACGCGGCGUCGCUGCAUCAGGGUUUCCCCCAUUGUGCAAUAUUCCCCACUGCUGCCUCCCGUAGGAGUUUGGGCCGUGUCUCAGUCCCAAUGUGGCCGGUCGCCCUCUCAGGCCGGCUACUGAUCGUCGCCUUGGUGAGCCGUUACCUCGCCAACCAGCUAAUCAGACGCGGGUCCAUCCCAUACCGUCUCGGCUUUCCCCUCCCGGCCAUGCGGCCAAGAGGAAUCAUGCGGUAUUAGCGGCCGUUUCCGGCCGUUGUCCCCCUGUAUGGGGCAGGUUGCCCACGCGUUACUCACCCGUCCGCCGCUCAGUCGCGACCCUUCCUCCCGAAGGAUUCCGGGGCGCGCUUCGCUCGACUUGCAUGUGUUAGGCACGCCGCCAGCGUUCAUCCUGAGCCAGGAUCAAACUCU
rnacentral:rRNA from 1 species